rnacentral:lncRNA from 1 species
AAUAAGUUGCAGAGACUCUUUGGGUUCUCUGUGUAGUUUUCACCUCUCCUUUUGUGAGAGUUUUUCAUCUCUCCUUUGUGAGAGCUUUUCAUCUCUCCUUGGUGAGAGUUUUAUUUGUAUUGUUAUGGCUUGGUUUUUUCAAGCUUGAUCUCUUUUUUAUUAUUCUAAGUUUGCAAUCUUAGUUGGGAUGCCUAUGCCAGAGUUUCUUCGAUCUUGCCUGAUCGUUAGUGGAGACAUACCUGAUUUUCUUAAUUUUGAUAUUAGACCGCUCCGUU